rnacentral:rRNA from 1 species
GACGAACGCUGGCGGCGUGCCUAAUACAUGCAAGUCGAGCGGACGAAUCGAAAGCUUGCUUUUGAUUCGUUAGCGGCGGACGGGUGAGUAACACGUGGGCAACCUGCCCUGUAGACGGGGAUAACACCGAGAAAUCGGUGCUAAUACCGGAUAACACGAAAUGUCGCAUGACGUUUCGUUGAAAGACGGCGCAAGCUGUCGCUACAGGAUGGGCCCGCGGCGCAUUAGCUAGUUGGUGGGGUAACGGCUCACCAAGGCGACGAUGCGUAGCCGACCUGAGAGGGUGAUCGGCCACACUGGGACUGAGACACGGCCCAGACUCCUACGGGAGGCAGCAGUAGGGAAUCGUCCGCAAUGGACGAAAGUCUGACGGAGCAACGCCGCGUGAGCGAAGAAGGCCUUCGGGUCGUAAAGCUCUGUUGUUAGGGAAGAACAAGUAACGCAGUAACUGGCGUUACCGUGACGGUACCUAACGAGAAAGCCACGGCUAACUACGUG